GACAGAGGGUGCAAACGUUGCUCGGAAUCACUGGGCGUAAAGGGCGUGUAGGCGGGAAGGAAAGUCAGAUGUGAAAUCCCUGGGCUCAACCCAGGAACUGCAUUUGAAACUCCCUUUCUUGAGUGCCGGAGAGGAAAGCGGAAUUCCUGGUGUAGAGGUGAAAUUCGUAGAUAUCAGGAGGAACACCGGUGGCGAAGGCGGCUUUCUGGACGAUAACUGACGCUGAGACGCGAAAGCGUGGGGAGCAAACAGG
rnacentral:rRNA from 1 species